rnacentral:rRNA from 1 species
CGGCGUGCCUAAUACAUGCAAGUCGAGCGAGCGGAACUAACAGAUUUACUUCGGUAAUGACGUUAGGAAAGCGAGCGGCGGAUGGGUGAGUAACACGUGGGGAACCUGCCCCAUAGUCUGGGAUACCACUUGGAAACAGGUGCUAAUACCGGAUAAGAAAGCAGAUCGCAUGAUCAGCUUUUAAAAGGCGGCGUAAGCUGUCGCUAUGGGAUGGCCCCGCGGUGCAUUAGCUAGUUGGUAAGGUAAAGGCUUACCAAGGCGAUGAUGCAUAGCCGAGUUGAGAGACUGAUCGGCCACAUUGGGACUGAGACACGGCCCAAACUCCUACGGGAGGCAGCAGUAGGGAAUCUUCCACAAUGGACGCAAGUCUGAUGGAGCAACGCCGCGUGAGUGAAGAAGGUUUCGGAUCGUAAAGCUCUGUUGUUGGUGAAGAAGGAUAGAGGUAGUAACUGGCCUUAUUUGACGGUAAUCAACCAGAAAGUCACGGCUAACUACGUGCC